rnacentral:rRNA from 1 species
AGGCUCAGAGCGAACGCUGGCGGCAGGCCUAACACAUGCAAGUCGAACGAAGUCUUCGGACUUAGUGGCGGACGGGUGAGUAACACGUGGGAACGUGCCUUUAGGUUCGGAAUAACUCAGGGAAACUUGUGCUAAUACCGAAUGUGCCCUUCGGGGGAAAGAUUUAUCGCCUUUAGAGCGGCCCGCGUCUGAUUAGCUAGUUGGUGAGGUAAAGGCUCACCAAGGCGACGAUCAGUAGCUGGUCUGAGAGGAUGAUCAGCCACAUUGGGACUGAGACACGGCCCAAACUCCUACGGGAGGCAGCAGUGGGGAAUCUUGCGCAAUGGGCGAAAGCCUGACGCAGCCAUGCCGCGUGAAUGAUGAAGGUCUUAGGAUUGUAAAAUUCUUUCACCGGGGACGAUAAUGACGGUACCCGGAGAAGAAGCCCCGGCUAACUUCGUGCCAGCAGCCGCGGUAAUACGAAGGGGGCUAGCGUUGCUCGGAAUUACUGGGCGUAAAGGGAGCGUAGGCGGACAUUUAAGUCAGGGGUGAAAUCCCGGGGCUCAACCUCGGAAUUGCCUUUGAUACUGGAUGUCUUGAGUGUGAGAGAGGUAUGUGGAACUCCGAGUGUAGAGGUGAAAUUCGUAGAUAUUCGGAAGAACACCAGUGGCGAAGGCGACAUACUGGCUCAUUACUGACGCUGAGGCUCGAAAGCGUGGGGAGCAAACAGGAUUAGAUACCCUGGUAGUCCACGCCGUAAACGAUGAUUGCUAGUUGUCGGGAUGCAUGCAUUUCGGUGACGCAGCUAACGCAUUAAGCAAUCCGCCU